AAUAUGACUCAUAAGGGGGUUUAAUAAUAAUUAUUAAUUUUUUAUAUUCACUCAAAUGUUUUUAAAAUUCAUUUUGAGCCACCCUAAUUUCUUUACCCCAAACUCACUGCAUUCUCCUUUCUAUACACAGAACCACUAUUACCGCCACCACUACUUUUCUCUGGAUCUGUGUUGUAGCCGUCCAGCCCAGCAAUUGCUGCUGUUCUCAGUCCCUCUCCCGGCGUCGUUUUUAGCCUCUCUCUCUCCGCGUCGUUCAUUCUCGGUAUCUCUCUUUGCGUCGUUCGUUCUCAAACUCGGAGUGCCGUCGUCGUGCACCCGCAUCGUUCUCCCUCCUCAGUGGCAUCGUCCUUAGCAAGUAGCGGCGACAUUCGCUCCGCACUUCUAAUCUGGGAUGGACUCAUUUGACCUGGGUGGUUACUGCUAGUGCCAAGAUACAUGCAGUGUGUUGGAGUUGCUGGAUUAUAUAUUCAAUAAAUUUUAGUUUCUAAAAUAUAGCACUUUUUGCAAUCAAACUUAAUCUAUGGUAUUUUGUAUUUCUAGCUAUCAGAAUAAUGUAAUGCAAUGAUGUACUUCUUCAUAUAUCGUUCUAAAUUGUUUUCAGAAUAAUAUAUUCCUCUUUAAAUA